CUCAGCAUCCAGAGACAGCAUAAAAAAAUCCCAGGGAAGAUGGAGGGCGAUACAGCUGUGCUACAGAAGCAUAAAAUACAGUGGAAGACAAAGGACAUCCUGAUACUAAAAUCAUUACCUGGAAGGACUAGGAUCGCUGCAAGAACAUUCCAGGACUGGGAUGAGUGUGGGACAAGGAAAAGACAAGUUUCCUCUAGGAAAAAAGCAUAAUGUCUCAAGAGGGAAUUCUGCAUAACCUGACAGCCUGAAACUCCAGAAUCAGGGGAAAGGCCAGAGGAGAACCUGGGUGACAGCUGCACAGGGGACAGAAGAUCGUGGUGCUGAGAAGCUGUUUGCUAACUCACCAGGGAAGAACGUGGCAUGACCUCCCAUCAGAAAAGGGAGGAGAAUAAAAAUAGUUCAUUACAGCAUGGGUUGGCCAGCAUGUCCUAAUGGCCAGUAGCUUCUGCCUGUAGGAAUGUGAUGUCAAGUUGUUUCCAAGGAAAAUAAAACUGUUAUUAAAAGGGACUUCAUCCAAAAGAACUUUAUCCAAAAGUAUUCUAAAGUGGUUUUAGAGGUGGAAUAGUUUCAGCUCUUGUGAUUUCCUAAAAACACGUCCUUUAUAGGAAAAAAAAGUAAUAAGCUUGGCUUUUUUUUUUUUUUUUUCUAGAGAGCACAGUUGCCAAGAACACAAGCUAAGUUUCAGAUUUGCUGGAGAGCAGGAGCUGAGGAUGAGAUAAUUUUAGGCUUAACGUUACAACUAGGCAAGACAUAUAUUGCUUUCAUUUUACUGAACAAAGUUAGCUCCUACCUGUAUUCAGAGCUGACUGCUGACAGUUCAAAUUAAAUGUAUGCAGUCAUCACAAUUGUUUGGCAUUUAUUUUAUGCUAGCGAAUGGCUAAUCACUGAAAAGUGAUGGGUGACAGGACAUGCAGCUGAUCACUGUCACAUCUAUCAGAGAGAAAGGAGAGGUUUGGGUCUGAAAUGCUCCCCUCAGAUGAGAAGGAACAAGAUUCCUUCCUUACAGGAAGGCCCAGCUUAGGACAGAAAAAUAAACUUCUACAUAAUACAGGCAGGAAGGUAUGGGGGAGACAAAGUGAAUGUAGGGCUAAAUAGUCCAUAAAUUCUUCAUGUAAGAUAU